rnacentral:rRNA from 1 species
CAGCCGCCACGGGAAUACGAAGGGGGCUAGCGUUGUUCGGAAUUACUGGGCGUAAAGGGCGCGUAGGCGGCCAUUCAAGUUAGAUGUGAAAGCCCUGGGCUCAACCUAGGAAUUGCAUUUGAUACUGUUUGGCUUGAGUUCGGGAGAGGUGAGUGGAAUUCCCAGUGUAGAGGUGAAAUUCGUAGAUAUUGGGAAGAACACCAGUGGCGUAGGCGGCUCACUGGACCGACACUGACGCUGAGGCGCGAAAGCGUGGGGAGCAAACAGGAUUAGAUACCCGCGUAGUCCCUGUCUCUUAUAU